GAUGAACGCUGGCGGCGUGCUUAACACAUGCAAGUCGAACGGUGAAAGAGAGCUUGCUCUCUGGAUCAGUGGCGAACGGGUGAGUAACACGUGAGCAAUCUGCCCCUGACUCUGGGAUAAGCGCUGGAAACGGCGUCUAAUACCGGAUACGAGCUGCGAAGGCAUCUUCAGCAGCUGGAAAGAACUUCGGUCAGGGAUGAGCUCGCGGCCUAUCAGCUAGUUGGUGAGGUAACGGCUCACCAAGGCGUCGACGGGUAGCCGGCCUGAGAGGGGAACCGGCCACACUGGGACUGAGACACGGCCCAGACUCCUACGGGAGGCAGCAGUGGGGAAUAUUGCACAAUGGGCGCAAGCCUGAUGCAGCAACGCCGCGUGAGGGACGACGGCCUUCGGGUUGUAAACCUCUUUUAGCAAGGAAGAAGCGAAAGUGACGGUACUUGCAGAAAAAGCGCCGGCUAACUACGUGCCAGCCGCCGCGGUAAAAC
rnacentral:rRNA from 1 species